rnacentral:pre_miRNA from 1 species
UAAAAGUUAACUUUUUGUAUGCAGUUGCAACAGCGCCCCUAGCGGCAAACGUAGGGAAACGUUCCAACUCCAUACAAAUUUGAGUUA